GUACUUGAUAAGAAUGUGAUCAAUGAUUUUGUAAAAAUUUGACGUUAAAAACAUUAAAAGAAUUUAAAUAUAUAAAAAAAUAAGAAAUUAAUCAUAUCACAGAUAUGGUUUAAAUUGAUGCAUCUCUUUCUGCCUCUAACGGCAAGAGAAAGAUGUAUUGCAUGGAAACGCAAAAGUGAUCCCAUCAACCACUUGAAACUUCUCGUGGUAAUAUAUAUAUACUUAUACUAAAAUAUAUAUUUAGGUUUAGAUUAUUAAAUUAAGGAAAAAUGACAUAAACUAACAACUUUAAGACAAUAAUUAUAAGUAAUAGCAAUAGUUUUCCAAAAUUACAACUAUUAACAAAAGUAGCAAUAUUUUACAUUUUUAUUUAACUGAAGCGUGACAUCCACUCUCUUUUUUUCACACUUCUUUACCUUCUGUUUACCUAUUUUCACGCCACAAACAAAGAUUCAAUUCCCUCCAAUAUCUUCUUCGGCUAUUUUUUUUUCAAAAGCCCCAAAUUUCUUCCUAAAUCUUGAUAAACCUUGUUUCCACCUUUUAUGCCAAAGAAAAGUUACAAGAGUUGAGUUCAAAGAAGCGAAACGAUCCCCAAAAGUCUGUUGAAAUAAUGAAACGGAAAGCAGUGAGGAAUCUUUGUCCCCCAAAUUCAAAAAAAAAAUCAAAAAACAGCAAAAAAGAGAAAGCUCGAUGAAAAAUCUCAUUCAAGCCCAAUUUCAUCAGAUUAUGAAUUGUCAUCUGAAGAAGAGAAAGUAGAAGAGGUAUUGUUGCAUUUGCAAAAUUUUGUAGUUUAUGUACAAUAUAUUAAUAUAUGUAUUUUAUAUAUGCAAUUAAUAAGUUGUGUGCUUAUUUUAGCUUUCAGUCAAGUUAUUAAAUUUGUAGUUCUUAAUGUGAAGAUCUAUGUAUGUUAUGUUAUAGAUACGUAAUAGUGAAAAUUUAUGGGAUUUG